AUAUAUAUGAUGGGUCUAUUAUGAUAACACUCCCUUAAGACCUUAUUCUACACACCAAAAAAGCUUAUUCUGAUAACACUCACCGACCCGAACACCCAGCACCGCCCGAACCCCGUAGAACUGGAAACCCACCCUAGCCGGCUACCCCCACGCACCCCACCCCCACCGAACCCAUGUUCUUCCCCGAUAAAUCCCCAUCCACCUCUCCUCGAUGCCCACGCCCCAGCGCCACCACCCCCAAUCCCCAGUGCCCACUCCAGGCAUCCCACAACCACCCCACCCCCGACCGACCGGCCUCCUCUCCUUCCCGGCCGGAGUCCCGUCCCACCACCACGCACUGAUGCCGCCCAUGUACAGGCGCUGCCACACGCCGGAUCCGGUGGGAUCCGUCGAUCCCCGCCUUCAACGCCCACAUCCAGGGCCGCCAUACGGCCGGAUCCGGCGAGCCCCGCCUCCACCACCCCGGGCUGGAUCCCACUUCACCAUCCUGCAACCGGUGCGCCGCGCCAACCCGGCGCCGGCCCAUGCUCGCGCCGCCCCGCUGCCUCCUGUCUCCCACAUCACCUCCCUUCUGCCGUCGAUCGACCCCGUCGCCAGCCUGGUCUCGCGCCACCCCUGUGAGGGUUAGCCGAUCCCCCACGCUCGGGUCUGCCCUCGUCCCCGAUCUGGAUUGAGCCGCCGCUGGGAAGUUCAGCGUCACGGCGGGACAUCGUGCGGUUUGGCGCCCUCCCUCGUCAUCGGUCACGGCACCGCAGCCACCGGCCUCGAGCGUCCGCUCCUCCACCUUGAUCUUAUGCUUGCCGGUGUCGCCCCGGCCGAUCCAGACAGUUGGGUGGGAGUUGGGGUGUCUCGGGCGUCCAGCCGUGGGUUCCCCCCGAUGAGUUGGACGUCUGCUCCCCUCUCUCUCCACCUCCCAUCCCCGCGGGAGCAGUGAGGCGUGUCCCUGUGCAGUGCAGUGACCCCCAAGAAACUAAGGUUGGCCUUGCAGUUCGCUGGCAAGAAUCUGCCUCUCCCCCUCCGUAGAUGCAGUUUGGCCAGAAGGGCUUUGUGAGAACAGAAAAAAUUGUUGGAGCAACUUCCACUUCCUCUGAAGUCCACUUCGCCUGCAGGAGCAACUUGCGCUUCCUGUGCAGCGACCUAUGCAGUGGAGCCACCCCUUGUGGAGAACAAAGAAAAUGCCGGAGCCCAAAACUCAGAGCUCCCAGUGAAGUUCAGCGUUUUUGGGUGUUCAGUGUGCUACCAAUAACCCAUGUAAUCCACUAUGUUCUCUAAUGCAGACUAUUGUACUACGUGAAAAACAAACUCUAAAGAGAAAAAAUAAAAAGGAAAAUGCAGUGUGCUUUGUUCUCUAA